rnacentral:piRNA from 1 species
UUCAAGGGAGACUGAUAUGUUUG